rnacentral:piRNA from 1 species
UCCAAAUAGUCGGUGUCUAUGGUGUCAGUC